AGCCUAAUGGCCUAAUGGAUAAGGCGCCUGACUUGGAUCAGAAGAUUGAGGGUUCGAGUCCCCGUUGGUCAA
rnacentral:tRNA from 1 species